rnacentral:rRNA from 1 species
AUUGAACGCUGGCGGCAUGCCUUACACAUGCAAGUCGAACGGCAGCACGGGGCAACCUGGUGGCGAGUGGCGAACGGGUGAGUAAUGCAUCGGAACGUACCUUUCAGUGGGGGAUAACGUAGCGAAAGUUACGCUAAUAACGAAUAUUCUGUGAGCAGGAAAGCAGGGGAUCGCAAGACCUUGCGCUGAUUGAGUGGCCGAUGUCAGAUUAGCUAGUUGGUGAGGUAAAGGCUCACCAAGGCGACGAUCUGUAGCGGGUCUGAGAGGAUGCUCCGCCACACUGGAACUGAGACACGGUCCAGACUCCUACGGGAGGCAGCAGUGGGGAAUUUUGGACAAUGGGGGCAACCCUGAUCCAGCCAUGCCGCGUGAGUGAAGAAGGCCUUCGGGUUGUAAAGCUCUUUCGGCCGGGAAGAAAUCGCACGGGCUAAUACCCUGUGUGGAUGACGGUACCGGAGUAAGAAGCACCGGCUAACUACGUGCCAGCCGCCGCCGUAAUAC